CCGAGUCCUACACCCAGGCGAUGCUACUCUCCUGUCUGGUCCUUGCCUACAGGGAACAUUGUGACAUAUCUCUUUGCCAUUCAUCCAGGUUCUGCCCACAGGGAAGAUUGUGGUGAAUUACUGAACGCGAUACCUAGAUGAAGGAGAGACUAUAACAUACCUCUUGGCCCAGCACCUAGUUGAUGUAACUCUGCUCUCCUGCCUGGGCCACACCUACAGAAGAAAGA